AGUGAACGCUGGCGGUAGGCCUAACACAUGCAAGUCGAACGGCAGCACAGGAGAGCUUGCUCUCUAGGUGGCGAGUGGCGGACGGGUGAGGAAUACAUCGGAAUCUGCCCAGUCGUGGGGGAUAACGUAGGGAAACUUACGCUAAUACCGCAUACGACCUUCGGGUGAAAGAGGGGGAUCGCAAGACCUCUCGCGAUUGGAUGAGCCGAUGUCGGAUUAGCUAGUUAGCGGGGUAAUGGCCCACCAAGGCGACGAUCCGUAGCUGGUCUGAGAGGAUGAUAAGCCACACUGGAACUGAGACACGGUCAAGACUCCUACGGGAGGCAGCAGUGGGGAAUAUUGGACAAUGGGCGCAAGCCUGAUCCAGCCAUACCGAGUGGGUGAAGAAGGCCUUCGGGUUGUAAAGCCCGUUUGUUGGGAAAGAAAUCUUUCAGGCUAAUACCCUGGGAGGAUGACGGUACCCAAAGAAUAAGCACCGGCUAACUUCGUG
rnacentral:rRNA from 1 species